AUUGUUUUGAAUAAACUUUGAACGACAAAAUUUCUUCCUAUGUGACGUUUACAUUUUCUGACGUCAGACACGCGAAGCAAUAAAUGAGUUUUUUAAUUUGAUAGAUGCUUUUGUGCUUUUUUGUAAAUGAUUGUUUGUUUUGAGAUUGAAAGACAGUGAUGACUGUUGUACCCAUAUUUUGACUUUUAUUUAUUAUGUCUGUUUUGUUCACGCAUGGUUGUAAAUAUAAUGUAAUUUGAUGCGAC
rnacentral:lncRNA from 1 species